UACGGGGGGGGCAAGCGUUGUUCGGAAUUACUGGGCGUAAAGGGCGCGUAGGCGGCCUUCUAAGUCGGACGUGAAAUCCCUCGGCUCAACCGGGGAACUGCGUCCGAUACUGGAGGGCUUGAAUCCGGGAGAGGGAUGUGGAAUUCCAGGUGUAGCGGUGAAAUGCGUAGAUAUCUGGAGGAACACCGGUGGCGAAGGCGGCAUCCUGGACCGGCAUUGACGCUGAGGCGCGAAAGCCAGGGGAGCGAACGGG
rnacentral:rRNA from 1 species